rnacentral:lncRNA from 1 species
CUACAUUCAAGAAAUAUGCUAUUGAAGGCCCUGAAAUAUGGAAAAUCUUAGGAGAAAAGAAUCAAGAUAACAACAAAAUUAAACUCACAUAUUCAUUAAUAAAAUCACAUUUAUCUUUCAUUUAUUUUAUUUACUGAUCAUUUUUAGCGCUUAAGGAAAUUUAUUGCUGAUAUAUGUACACAACCUCUACCCAAACAAAAACAAUAGUUAUUGUCCUUUCAUUCUUACUAACACACAUGUAACCUCAAAAUAUUUGAGGGAGUAGUGGAAAUUAAAAGGAUGUAAAGACACAAACCUCGGAAGCAUAAUAGGGGCUAAAAUCAAACGUAUUCGAGGACAUUAAAGUGAAGUUCUACUUAUUCUUCCAUAUCUAUAUUGUACAAAAAAAAACAUUGUUGAAUGUAUAAAGAUGAGGAGAUGUCCUUAAGGGAUGUCAGGUUUGUUGCCGACUUUGUGUUGUCUAAUAUCAAGAUCCUUGGUUUAGUUACUAAAAUAAUGUUUGAUGACCCUUCUUCUUUGCUAAUGAGAGAUCAUCCUCUGACAAUAGAAGAGGAAAAAAUCUGAUAAUUGGUGGUUUUGUAACUGUCGAAAGCAUCCUUUUUAGUCUUUAUUCUAUCUGUUGCCUCACAAUUUCAUUUUUGUCUAGGUUAUAACAUUAUGUGAGGACUUGCAUAUUCUAUGGGAGAAAUAUUCCUAAUAUCUUUCGAAGUGCGGAAUAAGAAACUUCUUAGAUUUUGGUGUUCUUAGGCCAUAUUAUAUCUGGUGAAGGGAUUCAAGUUGACACUAAGAAGAUGGAAAGUGAAGAAUGGGUCAAGACCCACAUCUCCAACUUAUAUAAGAAGUUUCAUGGGACUGGUUUGUAACUACAGAAAAUUCGCGGAGGGGUUUUCAUUUAUUUCAUCCCAUUGAUUAAGUUGACUCAGAAAAUAAUUCAAGUUUCAAUGGUCUGAAGCUUGUGACAAAAGCUUUCAAAAAUUGAAAACUAGGUUUACUACUUCUAGAGUUGACCCUGCCAGAGGGCACAACAGGCUUUGUUAUGUGUUGUGAUGUCUCAAGGGUUUGACUUGGUUGUGUAUUGAUGCAGAAUGGAAAACUUAUAACCUAUUCCUCCAAAACAAUUAGGAAUAAUGAAAAGAAUUACUUGACUCAUGAUCUUGAGUUAGCAUUUGUAGUAUUUGCUUUGAAAAUAUGGUAUCACCAUCUCAAAAGUGUUCAAAUAGAUGUGUUCAUUGAUCAUUAGAGUUUUCAGUAUGUUUUAAAUCAGAAAGAUUUUAACAUAAGACAAGGGAGGUGGGUAGAUUUUUCCUAGGAUUAAAACAUAUCCUCUAUCACCUGGGUAAGGCUAAUAUUCUUGUUGAUAUUUUGAACAAGUUAUUUAUGGUAAGUACAACUCAUGUUGAGGAAGGAAAGAAAGAAUUGACUAAGAAAGUUCAUAUACUUUCCGGAUAGGGAUUGCGUCAAUCGGAUUCCAGCGAAGGUGGAGUUGUGGUGAUGAAAGGGGCUGAAUAUCAAUAGAGUGUGAGGUAAAGGAGUAACAAUAACAAGACCCUGUUUUACUUGAAUUGAAAACAAAUGUUCAUAAGCAAAUGGUGAUGGAUUUUGAACAAUAUCGAGAUGAUGUGUAGAGAUAUUAUGGUAUAUUGUCUGUACUAAAGGUGGGUGAACUCCAAGAGAGAAUCAUACAAAAUGCUCAUAGUUUUAGCCAUUAAUCUAUCUUGAUUCUAAAUUGAUUUGAAGAUAAGUCUAUCGGUGAAAUAGUAUGCAAAGGUGCAUUGCAGAUAUUGUCGCUAAGUGUCUGAAUUGCCAAAAAGUCAAGGUAGAGCAUAAAAGACCCGGUGGUGUGGCUCAGAACAUAGCCCUUCCAUAAUGUCAGUGAGGAAUGAUUAACAGGGAUUUUAUUAUUGGCUUGUCGCGAUCGAGCUGGCCACAUGAUUCAAUUUGGGUGGUUGUAGAUUAGAUAACUAAAUCAAUCCAUUUCUUACCAGUAAAGAAUACAAAUUCAACAGAAGAUUAUGCCAAAUCAUAUAUUCAAUAGAUAGUCUCACUCCAUGGAGUUCCUUUGUGUAUCAUAUAAGAUAGAUGUCAACAAUUAACCACUAAAUUUUGGAAACCUUUCCGGAAAGGUUUGGGUUCAAUGGUGUAUUUGAGUACUGCAGCUCUGGAAAUCUCACAACUAUUGAACGGUAAAGUUUGAGUUGUUGUGCGGUGCUAGAAUCACUAAUUUGUCUUGUUAGGGUGCAGUGCUCUUGAGCAUUUGGAGCUUCUAGCUCAGGUUCGCUGGAGUGCGAUGAAAUGGAGCUCAAAGCUCGUUUGUAUCGCAACAUAUUACUUGAAAAAUAAGAGAAAAAUUGUACCGGAGAAAUGGGAUGGGGACUGGUUCACGGGAUAUGUUUUGAGGUCAUAUCCGGUGAAUUUUUCACUGGAAAAAGAAGAAAAAAU